GCAUAAAAUUUGCAUCUAAUUAAAGAACCCUACUUAUUACUCCAUCUCAUGAGCAUCCUGCACACAGCUGAUCAUUUCCAGCGUAGAGACUUGAAUUUUAUGUUUCGCAUUGAAUCGUGGUAACGAACAACUUUGACAGAAGAUGAUGUCCAAAUCAGUGGGUUUAGCAUUGCUUGUUCUAGCCGGCGUUAUAAGUUCCGUCACAGCAUGCUCGUGUAUUCCUCAAAGUGAAAAGGACUUGUUCUGCAAGGCUGAUUUUGCUAUAGCAUUUAAGGCCAAGGACAAUGGUACUGUUGAAUGCGAUACCAGGGUUUAUCAGGUGGAGUUGCUCAGAAUGUACAGAACUGUGCAAUUUAAAAACUUAGACACAGAUAAGAUAUAUACCGCAAAAGACAGCGCCGCGUGUGGAGUUACCUUUACCGCAGAUGAGUCUAUGUUAUCUCAGUA